AUAUAUGUGAGUGUUUAUUAGUAUACAAAGUGAUUAAAUUUAAAAAAUGAUGUAAUAGGUUUUGAGAGAUUUCAGCUUAAAAGAAUGGUUUUUUAAGAUUAUCGAUUGCUUUUCUUGAUAUUGUUUGUUGUUGGGUAUUCUGUUGUUAGGAGAGGGAUUAUGGUUUUAGCAUCAUUUUAUGAGGAUUUCUUGAUACAAUCAAUCAUAGGGGGUGGUUUCUGAUUAAUGGUUUUGUAGAGAAGUGAAUGUGAUUAAUGGAAUUUCGUGUUCCAAGAUUGACCUUGUGUGGGAUUUAUGAUUCUUUCUAGUUGAGAAAUUGUGUGAGAAUAUGUUGACUCUAGCCUUUAUGGAUUUAGAUCUUAAUUGUUUAUGUGACAUCUAAUUACUUAAGUUCUUGCUCUUUGCUCCUCCUGUGCCCUAAAAAAUCUAGAAACGCAAUAUAGGGCUAAUACACUGUUCUAUUUUUUUGACAAGUAAAUUAUAUAUUUAUAUAUACUGUUCGGAAAUAAACAUUUUAUGUCUUGUGUGGGAUUCAUGAUUCUACUUUUCUUCUACCCAAGCACAAAGGGCGUUUAUAAAAAACUUAUUUCUGGUCCCCAAAACCCUCCCCUCCCAGUUAGUUGAAGUAGAGGCAAGAUCACUACGUGAAUACCAUGUGGUUACUUAAACUUUUAGUUUGCUACAGGUUUCGAUCCAUGCAUGUUUAUAAAAGGAUGCAUAUUCCUUCAUUUUGGAAAUCCUGGAGUUUUUGUCAAUGAAAUUUCUUCUUGUUUUGUUAAAAUGGUAGUAACUGCAAUAGCUCAAGGCAUCCUUCAUUGUAUUAGUACAGCUUGCCUAAUCAGAGUGAUUUUUUUGGCUAUUUAUCAUUAAUCUUAUAGCCAAUGACCAAGUAAAAGACUUAUUUGUCUAUCUUUCUAAGUGACAAACCAUAAUCGCAAUCCUUUUCCUUCUAGCAUAAUUGGUAUUGAUUAUUGUGAUGCAGAAAAAUACUUAAACAUAAUCAUUACAAACGGUGGGAGAAAAAAAUACGCACAGAAUGCAAUUCUUGCAUAAUUUUUAACUGGCCAGCUAAAGCUCUACUACUUGAUACGAUUAAAAUCAUAUACCUGUAAUCUUUGGCUUUAUCCAUGUCUAUAAUAAGGCAAUGAGCAAUAUGUUGAAUAGACAAAGUAUCAAUUUCUUUGGGUGUACAUGGUAUCUUGCAUACUGUAACAAUAAGUACAUUGGAGUCAUUCAAAUGGCUCAUUAGGAGCUUAUAAUAAUAUAGGUGAGUGGCAACAUAUUCUAUUUGCUCAAACUCACUCACCUACUUAACUAAUCCCUGAACAAAUAUUGAUGGCUUUAUAAUUAGGCGUAAGGAGGCCCACCACUCAUCUCUCUCAGACCCUGCAAAAGUGGUACCUUUGUGCACUACGUACAAUCUUUUUAAUCUGUAGGACCUACAUCUGGUGAUCAUUUUUAAUAUCUUGUUUGUGUCUUAGUCAGGUUUGAGAAAGAAAAACUGGAGUAUACAAGAAGACUUCAGGGGUAGUAAAUCUGGUUUCAUUAAAUUUACAUGGAAAUUGACUGAGUGGUCAGAUAAAGGAAAUAUAUUAUUUGCAUGUUAUGGUCUUAUAUAGUUUGAGAGGUAUUCAUUACUAGCUUUGUGGUCAAACUUUCUCUUUCAUCCACUCUCUGUUUCUGUGUAGCUUUUCUAUAUAAGUUGAUAGUUUUUAAUAUAUAUAUAUAUAAGAUAGACAAUUGUAUUUUCAUUUUGCUUUGCCCUAAAGUAGUGAAAGAAUGCACACAAUGUUCUUGUUCUUAUUUGACUUAGUCCAAAAAGAAAUUGUUGUUACUGCAUUUGUUGAUGGAGGCAGUAGUGGUCUUCGUUUGAGGAUAUAGCAGGCAUUCUAUAAUGUGGAGCACUUGUCACUCAAGCUUCAGCAAGAUGCUAGAUUGGUUAAUUUGCUGGAGGAUAUCAUGGAUGGCAGCCGAAUACUGAUCUUCAUGACUACCAAGGAAGGAUGUGAUCAGGUCACCCGGCAGCUUUGCAUUGAUGGGUUGGCAAGCUCUUUCAAUUAAUGGAGAUAAAAGUCAAGCAGAAAGGGUUGGGUCCUCUCAGAGUUUAAAGCUGGCAGGAGUCCUAUUAUGACUGCAACAGAUGUUGCAGCUUGUGGUUUGGGAAUGGAGAUAAAACUUUAAUGCUUGUUCAAAGACUUGAUAGAAAUUCAUUUUUAGUACAGGAAAUUGUGUUGGUAAACAAUAACUAAUAGCACUCAUCAUCAUCAUUAUCAACUCAUUUUGAUGCGAGCCAUUUCACUCAGCUCUUUGCUGCAUAUAUUGGAGAUCCACCUUUAUUUCUUGUUUGCACUCAUUUGUUAUAUUUUCUAUUCUGAUGCUGCUACUUGGUCAUUUUGAAAGAUUCAUGUUUUUUAGUUAUUGCUUUGCUAUAUUUAGUGGUCUCUAACUGUCUCUUGAACAUCUUUUUUAUCUAAGUUGGUGUUAUUUGUCACGUGGAUUCUGCUUGUAUGUCUGUUGAGCCACUUGUUUUCAUGUCUAUGGAUAUUGCCCUUGAACACUUAUUUUCAGCAACAACAACACUCGUGCAUGCAGAAAUGUAUUAAGGACUUAAGGUCACAUGUUUUCUGAUCUAAAUAAGAUUCUGAUGUGAGAGGUUGUUAUCCUACUGCGUUUCUUAUGACUUGUGAUGUGCUUAGGUUUUGGGGCAGAUGUGAAGGACGCGAAUUAUGUGAUCAAUUAUGACUUCCAGGAGUAUAUUCACCGCAUUGGUCGAACUGGAAGGGCUGGGGCAAAAGGAACUGCAUUAACUUUCUUCACAGCUGGAAACACCAUAUUUGCAAAGGAACUCAUCUGCAUACUUGAAGAAGCUGGAUAGAAGGUCAGUCCUGAAUUGGCUGCAGUGGGGCAUGGUGCACCUCCUCCCCCUUAGAUUAGUUGACUAGUUUGAAUACUCUUAGGUGGUGUUUAUAUGCAUGAGUGUGUGUACUUGGUUACUGAAAUCAACUGUUUCAGUGAAUAUCAACCAAUUAGAUCAUGGGGGUUUUCGAGAUUGUGGGAUGGGUUAUGGUGGUGGUAGCACGCUGUAUUUUGUGGGAAACAUUAGCAUGUAUGAUUAGAAAAUAGGAGUUAAAAUGUCUUGUUUCCAUUCAACUUUAA